rnacentral:rRNA from 1 species
AGCAGCCGCGGUAAUUCCAGCUCCAAUAGCGUAUAUUAAAGUUGUUGCAGUUAAAAAGCUCGUAGUUGAAUUUCGGGGUUAGUAGGUUGGUCAUGCCUCUGGUAUGUACUGGUCUCACUGAUUCCUCCUUCCUGAUGAACCGUAAUGCCAUUAAUUUGGUGUUGCGGGGAAUUUGGACUGUUACUUUGAAAAAUUAGAGUGUUUAAAGCAAGCUAACGCUUGAAUACAUUAGCAUGGAAUAAUGAAAUAGGACGUUCGAUCCUAUUUUGUUGGUUUCUAGGAUUGACGUAAUGAUUAAUAGGGAUAGUUGGGGGCAUUAGUAUUCAAUUGUCAGAGGUGAAAUUCUUGGAUUUAUUGAAGACUAACUACUGCGAAAGCAUUUGCCAAGGAUGUUUUCAUUAAUCAAGAACGAAAGUUAGGGGAUCGAAGACGAUCAGAUACCGUCGUAGUCUUAACCAUAAACUAUGCCGACUAGGGAUCGGAUGAUGUUAAUUUUUUAAUGACUCAUUCGGCGCCUUAC